UGAGGAAUAUUGGGCAAUGCCCGCAAGGGUGACCCAGCAACGCCGCGUGGAGGAUGAAUGUCGUAAGAUUGUAAACUCCUGUUAGAGGGGAAGAAUAGUACCGGUUGGACCGGUAUAUGACUGUACCCUCAGAGAAAGCCCCGGCUAACUACGUGCCAGCAGCCGCGGUAAUACGUAGGGGGCAAGCGUUGUCCGGAUUUACUGGGUGUAAAGGGCGCGCAGGCGGGAUAAAAAGUCAGUGGUGAAAUCCUACAGCUUAACUGUAGAACUGCCUUUGAUACUUUUAUUCUUGAGUUCGGGAGAGAGAGACAGAAUUCCAGGUGUAGUGGUGAAAUACGUAGAUAUCUGGAAGAACACCAGUUGCGAAGGCGGUCUCUUGGUCCGACACUGACGCUGAGGCGCGAAAGCGUGGGGAGCAAACA
rnacentral:rRNA from 1 species